AUACGGAGGGGGUUAGCGUUGUUCGGAAUUACUGGGCGUAAAGCGCACGUAGGCGGAUUGGAAAGUUGGGGGUGAAAUCCCAGGGCUCAACCCUGGAACUGCCUCCAAAACUAACAGUCUAGAGUUCGAGAGAGGUGAGUGGAAUUCCAAGUGUAGAGGUGAAAUUCGUAGAUAUUUGGAGGAACACCAGUGGCGAAGGCGGCUCACUGGCUCGAUACUGACGCUGAGGAGCGAAAGCGUGGGGAGCAAACAGGAUUAGAAACCCCAGUAGUCC
rnacentral:rRNA from 1 species